rnacentral:tRNA from 1 species
GGUGGCUCAGUGGUAGAGCACUUGCCUUACAUGCGAGGCCCUGGGUUCGAUUCCCCAGUACCA